rnacentral:rRNA from 1 species
AGUGGCAAACGGCUGAGUAACGCGUAGGAACCUACCCCAAACUCGAGUAUAGCCCCGCGAAAGCGGGGGUAAUCCUCGAUAGUCCGUGAAGUAUUUUACUUCACGGUAAAGCUUUUGCGGUUUGGGAUGGGCCUGCGUCCUAUCAUGUAGUUGGUGAGGUAAGUGCUCACCAAGCCUAUGACGGGUAGCUGGUCUGAGAGGAUGGUCAGCCAGACUGGGACUGCGACACGGCCCAGACUCCUACGGGAGUGCAGCAACUAGGAAUUGUGCGCAAUGGACGAAAGUCUGACGCCGCGACAUCGCGUGGAGGAUGAAGGUCUUCGGAUUGUAAACUCCUUUUCUUACCGAACAAGUUCUGAGUGUAGGUAAGUGAGUAAGUGCCUGCUAACCACGUGCCAGAAGCAUCGGUAAUACGUGGGGCACGAGCGUUAUCCGGAUUUACUGGGCGUAAAGAGAAGCGUAGUGCGGCUCGAUAAGUUUGGUGUUAAAUCUUCCGGCUCAACCGGAAACAAGCACCGAAAACUAUCGAGAUUGAGUCGAGUAGGGAAGAGGGGAAUUCCUGGUGGACCGGUUAAAUGCGUAGAUAUCAGGGGGAAUACCAAGGGCGAAGGCACCUCUUUGGACUCGUACUGACGCUGAGGCUCGAAAGCGUGGGUAGCAAAACGGAUUAGAUACCCGUGUAGUCCACGCCGUAAACGAUCCCUGUUAGAUGUA